AGGCAUUUCAAGCAGAGAGAAGAUUCUGCAAAGGCUCAGAAGCAUGAAACAGCUCUGUGUAUUAGAGCCUGCCGACAAGAUGAGAGCGACUUUGAAUCAGCUGCGAGGCCGUUAACACCCCAGCCUGUCCUAACUUCAUUAGGCUCUCGAAUCUCUGCCUUUGAAAUACGCACUAUGAUCUACGGAAGGGAACAUGCGCAGUGGAAGGAGAGUGCAGGGGGAAGAGAGAUUUCAAGAGUUUACCUUCCAGUACAAAGUCACGCAGCCUGUUAAGUGGAGAUUCAAGAUUCAAACUCGCUUCCGGGAGCAGAGGGCGGUCUGUGCUUUUCAACCCUACGCUAGACAGCCUCCACCAAUUAUUUCUAUAUUAUUUGACCAUUUAAGUCUACCUCUCUUCUUCUCAAAAUGAUUACCAGUUUGUCCUGUGCAUAAUUUAUUCUCAAAUCUUAUGCUUUAUUGCCCUUGUUUGAUUCUUCCUCUCAGUUUGCAAUUUGACUGUUGCAUUUCUGCAUUGUACUCACAGUUUUUAAUACCAUCUGUUAUAAACUAGUCAUUUUGCUUCCACACAUUCUGAAAGAGAAGACUAUUUCUUAAGAAAAAGUAGAAUAAAGCGGGAACAGAUUCUCAGAUGUAAUCAUCGUGAUGUGCAAUGAAUAUCUGGCAGGGUCAUUAGACUUUCAAAUAUUCCUUUUCUUGUCUGCUCGGCAAAGACUCAGAAACACUCUUCUCGAGACAGCUGGCUAUUGUAGUCUGGGUGAAAAGCCUCACCAAUAGAUCUGUGCUCAGUUUUACAAUGAGAGAACAAAGAUGGUAUCAGUUUCAGAUACAUGUGUGCACAUAUGUAUGUGAAUCAUAUGUAUGUAUACAUUCAUGUAUGUGUGUGUCCAUACACACUUCUAUAAUCACCUGCUACUAUUAAAAAAUAUAUAGUUGGGGUUUUAUGAGCUACAUCCAGAAGCCACCCCCAUAAAUUGAAGACCAACAAUUAACCUAUUGUAGAGGUAGGCCACCUACUAACCUACUGAAUUGAAACAAUUGAAAUCAGGUCAUUUUUCUGGGACUCUGUAGGGAUAGAUAAUUUGAGAAGUCAAUUAUUAGAAGUCAAUUGUCACAUGUAUAAGAUACUAAACAAGUUCAUUUUAGAUCUAUAUUAUCAAACAGGGUAUUCACAAUUAUAACAAGGCAUGGUUGUAUAAAGUUCAGCAGUAAUGAAUACACUGUAUUUCUAUAAAUGGUGCCAACUGA